CCUGUCCUGACAGAGGAGGCACACGCUAAGCUGGCUGGGCGUUGUAAGCCUGGCACAUGGGUGCUGGCGUCAGAAUGCAGCCCGUCCUGCUUUUCUGAGAACUGCCAGUCACAGAAGAUUCAACAGUCUGUUCCGGAGGCGACAGAGAGAGGACAGACGGGAGCAAUGGAAACCCCAGACCAAGGGCCCGAAGGCGUCAUUUCACCAACUCGUGUUUGUGUCCGUCCACGGGACUUCUAGGUGUUGUCCGUGUGCAGAGCCGGUGACUGUGCGUGCACAGAGGUCUGUGUCCUGCAUUUCUCACCACGUGGCCACAUGCGUUAUAUCUGCUCCCCCCGCCCCGCCCCGCCCGCCGUCUUCCUCUCGCCCCUUAGGUUCCCCACACGCCAGCUAUAGGGUCCUGCCCGGACUCUGCUGUCCUCCUUACAGACAGGUGGCUGAGCUUCCCUCAGGUCUUUCCAGAGGAGAAGGAGACAAGAGAGGCCCAGAGAGAGAGACUUCAGCCAGAGACUUCCGGUCCCGGCUGCAGGCUGAUACCUGACUCCAGCCAUAGACGGAUCCCUGGCCCACAGCGUGGACUCCUUUGUGAUCGUGGCUGUAGAUUGGCCCAGGCACAUGCUGACCCCGAGGCCUGGCCACAGACUGACCUUGGCCCCAGUCGUAGAGCGAUCUUUGAGGCUGGCCACCGGCCCUCGCUGACACCCCACCCCUCCAGGAACUGGCGUUUCCUGAUUUGCAGCUGGUGAAUUCCGCUUGAGUUGGUCAGCA